GGUUAAGCGACUAAGCGUACACGGUGGAUGCCCUGGCAGUCAGAGGCGAUGAAGGACGUGCUAAUCUGCGAAAAGCGUCGGUAAGGUGAUAUGAACCGUUAUAACCGGCGAUGUCCGAAUGGGGAAACCCAGUGCAAUUCGUUGCACUAUCGUUAACUGAAUACAUAGGUUAACGAGGCGAACCGGGGAACUGAAACAUCUAAGUACCCCGAGGAAAAGAAAUCAACCGAGAUUCCCCAGUAGCGGCGAGCGAACGGGGAGCAGCCCAGAGUCUGAAUCAGCUUGUGUGUUAGUGGAACGGUCUGGAAAGUCCGACGGUACAGGGUGAUAGUCCCGUACACCAAAAUGCACAGGCUGUGAACUCGAAGAGUAGGGCGGGACACGUGGUAUCCUGUCUGAAUAUGGGGACCAUCCUCCAAGGCUAAAUACUCCUGACUGACCGAUAGUGAACCAGUACCGUGAGGGAAAGGCGAAAAGAACCCCGGCGAGGGAGUGAAAAAGAACCUGAAACCGUGUACGUACAAGCAGUGGGAGCACCUUCGGGUGUGACUGCGUACCUUUGUAUAAUGGGUCAGCGACUUAUAUUCUGUAGCAAGGUUAACCGUAUAGGGAGCCGCAGGAAACCGAGUCUUAACUGGGCGUUAAGUUGCAGGGUAUAGACCCGAAACCCGGUGAUCUAGCCAUGGGCAGGUUGAAGGUUGGGUAACACUAACUGGAGGACCGAACCGACUAAUGUUGAAAAAUUAGCGGAUGACUUGUGGCUGGGGUGAAAGGCCAAUCAAACCGGGAGAUAGCUGGUUCUCCCGAAAGCUAUUUAGGUAGCGCCUCGUGAAUUCAUCUUCGGGGUAGAGCACUGUUUCGGCUAGGGGUCAUCCCGACUUACCAACCCGAUGCAAACUACGAAUACCGAAGAAUGUUAUCACGGGAGACACACGGCGGGUGCUAACGUCCGUCGUGAAGAGAAACAACCCAGACCGCCAGCUAAGGUCCCAAAGUCAUGGUUAAGUGGGAAACGAUGUGGGAAGGCACAGACAGCCAGGAUGUUGGCUUAGAAGCAGCCAUCAUUUAAAGAAAGCGUAAUAGCUCACUGGUCGAGUCGGCCUGCGCGGAAGAUGUAACGGGGCUAAACCAUGCACCGAAGCUGCGGCAGCGACACUAUGUGUUGUUGGGUAGGGAGCGUUCUGUAAGCCUGCGAAGGUGACCUGUGAGGGUUGCUGGAGGUAUCAGAAGUGCGAAUGCUGACAUAAGUAACGAUAAAGCGGGUGAAAAGCCCGCUCGCCGGAAGACCAAGGGUUCCUGUCCAACGUUAAUCGGGGCAGGGUGAGUCGACCCCUAAGGCGAGGCCGAAAGGCGUAGUCGAUGGGAAACAGGUUAAUAUUCCUGUACUUGGUGUUACUGCGAAGGGGGACGGAGAAGGCUAUGUUAGCCGGGCGACGGUUGUCCCGGUUUAAGCAUGUAGGCUGGUUAUCCAGGCAAAUCCGGAUAAUCAAGGCUGAGGUGUGAUGACGAGGCACUACGGUGCUGAAGUAACAAAUGCCCUGCUUCCAGGAAAAGCCUCUAAGCAUCAGGUAACAUCAAAUCGUACCCCAAACCGACACAGGUGGUCAGGUAGAGAAUACCAAGGCGCUUGAGAGAACUCGGGUGAAGGAACUAGGCAAAAUGGUGCCGUAACUUCGGGAGAAGGCACGCUGGUGUGUAGGUGAAGUCCCUGCGGAUGGAGCUGAGACCAGUCGAAGAUACCAGCUGGCUGCAACUGUUUAUUAAAAACACAGCACUGUGCAAACACGAAAGUGGACGUAUACGGUGUGACGCCUGCCCGGUGCCGGAAGGUUAAUUGAUGGGGUUAUCCGUAAGGAGAAGCUCUUGAUCGAAGCCCCGGUAAACGGCGGCCGUAACUAUAACGGUCCUAAGGUAGCGAAAUUCCUUGUCGGGUAAGUUCCGACCUGCACGAAUGGCGUAAUGAUGGCCAGGCUGUCUCCACCCGAGACUCAGUGAAAUUGAACUCGCUGUGAAGAUGCAGUGUACCCGCGGCAAGACGGAAAGACCCCGUGAACCUUUACUAUAGCUUGACACUGAACAUUGAGCCUUGAUGUGUAGGAUAGGUGGGAGGCUUUGAAGCGUGGACGCCAGUCUGCGUGGAGCCAACCUUGAAAUACCACCCUUUAAUGUUUGAUGUUCUAACGUUGGCCCCUUACCGGGGUUGCGGACAGUGUCUGGUGGGUAGUUUGACUGGGGCGGUCUCCUCCCAAAGCGUAACGGAGGAGCACGAAGGUUAGCUAAUCCUGGUCGGACAUCAGGAGGUUAGUGCAAUGGCAUAAGCUAGCUUGACUGCGAGCGUGACGGCGCGAGCAGGUGCGAAAGCAGGUCAUAGUGAUCCGGUGGUUCUGAAUGGAAGGGCCAUCGCUCAACGGAUAAAAGGUACUCCGGGGAUAACAGGCUGAUACCGCCCAAGAGUUCAUAUCGACGGCGGUGUUUGGCACCUCGAUGUCGGCUCAUCACAUCCUGGGGCUGAAGUAGGUCCCAAGGGUAUGGCUGUUCGCCAUUUAAAGUGGUACGCGAGCUGGGUUUAGAACGUCGUGAGACAGUUCGGUCCCUAUCUGCCGUGGGCGCUGGAGAAUUGAGGGGCUGCUCCUAGUACGAGAGGACCGGAGUGGACGCAUCACUGGUGUUCGGGUUGUCAUGCCAAUGGCACUGCCCGGUAGCUAAAUGCGGAAGAGAUAAGUGCUGAAAGCAUCUAAGCACGAAACUUGCCCCGAGAUGAGUUCUCCUGAGACUUUAAGUCUCCUGAAGGAACGUUGAAGACGACGACGUUGAUAGGCCGGGUGUGUAAGCGCAGCGAUGCGUUGAGCUAACCGGUACUAAUGAACCGUGAGGCUUAACCUU
rnacentral:rRNA from 1 species